CACCCUAUAUGGUCCUCUCUCUUUCCCUAUCCCUAACCCUAACCCUAACCCUAGUCACCACCUCUCACUCUCACCUCUCUCCUAGCCCCCACUGCCAAAAAUGGCAAUAAUUCAGGGGUUACAGACCUUGCUCAGUCCUUGCAUGACCGUUUGGGGAAAACAAUUAAUGCAUCCGUCCUUGUUCCACCUAUUUCCACCCUAUCUCGCCCCAACCAUGUUGGAGCAAGGAAACACAAAGAGCUUUCAAAUUCAGUUCUUGAACCAGGCUGCAUGAUCAAAAGGUAACAUUUUUUCUUAUUAAAGUUCUUUUAUUUGCCUGCUUAGUUAGUAUCUGUUUAUGUUUGUGUUCAGUUAAGGUUUACUUAUGCUUGGCUAUAGUAGUUUAACUAGUUUUUCUGCCUUCUUCAAUAUAUGUUUAUCCUUAGUUAUGGUAGUACUACCAGUUCUUGGUCUUUGUCACUGAUAAGGUUUAUUCAUUAUGGCUAUGUUUGAAUGAAUGAUUAGCCUGUAAUUACUUAACACUACUUUAAGAACCUAAACAAUACCUUUACUUUAUAAUAAGACAAGAAUAUGCCUUUGUUUGAUGUUCCUCUGAAUUAGACAGAACUUGUGAGUAUAGUCUGAAUUUGAGCCUGGCCUCUAAUUAUAAGAUGGCUUAAUUGCUUCAUGAACCAAAGAUUUGAAGUUUAAAAACUAAACUUCUCUUAGCUUAAAUUAGGACAGACUCUUAAGGGUGUCUAAGAUCUUUAGUUUUAACACAAUAUGCUUCAAAAAGGCCUAUGGCAACCCUGAUUUUGGCUAUUUAAUGUUGUUAUUCAAAUUUGUCCAUUUUCUUUGUAUUUCAUGAAUGAGUGUCUUGUUUUUCCUCCAUUUCAUUCUAUGUGUGUCCUGCAUCAUGUGAUCACCUAGAACAAAUUAGCAUUUAUCUUUCUUGACAAUCUAAAAUUGGAGUUGGUCACAAGUUAGACUUUAUGAUCUUAAGGAUAAAAAGGGGUAAAAGAAGAGAAAAGGAUGAGAGGCUUGAAAUGAACUUGUUUAAAUCCUUCCAUAUGUAGACUGUCUGCAUCACCUCUUAAUGUCACAGCUUGAAAGCUAAAAUAUAGUGUCUAUAGAUUAAAAAAUAAGCUUUAGAGGCGAUGGCCUCACCCUAUACUAUCACUCCUCCAGGACCCUGAAGUCAUUUCAUCUGGACCUUGUUCCUACUAGCCAUGGGGCUCACCAAAGUCUCUUUGAUGGAUUAACUAAGGUUUAGUGUUAAUUUAAAGACUUCCUAGUUUAAAUUAAUAUAUUAAGAUCAAUAGAAGUCAACAUGGAAGGGGCUUUAAUAAUGUCUGUUGUGUUCAGCCUUAAUAUGUAUAGCUUAAAACUGGUAUUAAAAUAUAGUGUAUAUGUCUGUUUGUACUUUUCAUGAUCGAAGGAGGUUUUGGAGCAGUUCUGUGAUAAAAAUCUUGUGACGAGUUAACUAAAAUGCUAACAUGUGUUAAUAUUGAUUAAAUAUUUAGAUUGAGAUUGGUUCAAUGAUAGUGUUUGUAUAAGUCAUAAGUAUUCAUGGGCAAACUAAAAACCACUUGACUUAGAAGAGCCUUUUAAAGGUACCUUGGGAGAGGAUUAAGGAGAAUCAAGUUCAACUUGGUUCAUAAUGUCUUUCCUCCAAAUAAAAGAUACCAUGGCACAUCCUAUAAGUCUAUGGGGUGUGUGUUUGCUAUAUGAAUACAUUUAACCCUACAAUCCUAUUAUUGGACUAAGGGCCAAGGGUUGAAACCAAAUCUAUCUUGCUUAAACAGUCUUCUAAAACCAAGUGGUAAAUCUGUUCACAUAAAUUUGAUAGAUUUCUGAGAAUUGGUUGAGUUGAAGUCUUGGCAAAUUAAUUUGUUGUCUUUAAAAAUGAACACUAAAGCUCUAGAAUCUCUUGAUCCGUUGGACUCUUCUACAUUGUUUUUUUUUUGUGUGUCUGAAAGUUCUGUUUAAUCUUUUCCCUACAUAUUUCUUUCUAAUUGAAUGAAUUGUUUGAGAUUUGAGUGGUCAUUUCACAAUUCUACUUUCCCUCCUGAAACUAUAAAGGCUAAGUGUCAAUUCUUAAACUAUUAAAUUCUGUCCCUCCUAUGCUGCCAUUGUUUUGUUCAAGUAUUUAGGUUUUGGAUCAUUUUUGUGCUUUGAUUUCUUAGCUUGCAAACCCUCUCUACAGUUAUAGUUGUUAUGUGACUGCUUCCUUAGUUGUGGGCUUUGCUGGAUCUUGGUGAUUGCCUAGGCCUUACAAAUUGAUAAUGUAUACUGAUUUGGGCUGUUUUAAGUACUACAUGGGCUGAUGGAUCAUUUAGAACUAUGCUUAGAGAGCUAUUGAAGUCAUCUUUCUGGAGUAGUUUGAAUAGGAUGAACUUAGUCUUGGCCUUGAUAUAGGUGGAAAUUAGGGAUCAAUAUACAAAUAUAUAUAGGCUGGAUAAGAAGAAAGGGAAAUAUAUGCAGGGUAUACACUUGAUAUACAGAUCAAAAAUGUGUAUAUCAUCUAUAUAUGAUGUAUACAUACGAGUACUAAUCCCAUACACAAUGUACAUCAGCAAGUACAAAAGGGAAUAAAACUUAUUUAGGCUUUCAUCUCAAUCUGAACCCAAACAUGGCAAAUUUGGGCGUGGCCACUUCAGCUCAAUAUAGAGACAUGGCCUGAUCCACACUUUGAAAAUAUAGGGAUAAAGAGGGGAUUGGGUAGAACAUUUAGGAUGUAUUGAUAGGCUUCUAGGCCCAAUAAUCUGGAAAUCGUAUAUGUGUGCAUGUGUCUUUUAUUUCAUGUAUACAUAUUGUGUAUCUAUGUGUUAGUUAUAAGUUCAAUAGUUUUUAUCCGGGUUCCCCUUUUCCUUUUUCCUCCCUCUCACUGCAUGGGCCACUGGGGCCGAGUAGAAGCCAACCUAUUGGGCCAAGGCCCAACUUGUAAUUCUUUCAUCAUCAUUGAGUCCGAUAAAGACGAAAUGGAAGCUAAUAUGCAUUGAAUACAUAGGAGGCCCAGCCGUGGGUGAAAAUGGCCAACUAGGGGCUUGGUACGCCCCUAGCCUGCCCUUUCUUUUUAUUUUAUGCAUGCCUUCUUUAUUUGUAAUUUUGUUGUAUUUGUACUUGUAAAAAACUCUUACAUAUAUUGGAAUCUUUAUGUUUUGAA